AUUGAACGCUGGCGGCAUGCUUUACACAUGCAAGUCGAACGGCAGCGCGGGCUUCGGCCUGGCGGCGAGUGGCGAACGGGUGAGUAAUGCAUCGGAACGUGCCCAGGAGUGGGGGAUAGCGCGGCGAAAGCCGGAUUAAUACCGCAUACGACCUGAGGGUGAAAGCGGGGGACCGAAAGGCCUCGCGCUAUUGGAGCGGCCGAUGUCGGAUUAGCUAGUUGGUGGGGUAAAGGCUUACCAAGGCGACGAUCCGUAGCUGGUCUGAGAGGACGACCAGCCACACUGGGACUGAGACACGGCCCAGACUCCUACGGGAGGCAGCAGUGGGGAAUUUUGGACAAUGGGGGCAACCCUGAUCCAGCCAUGCCGCGUGCGGGAAGAAGGCCUUCGGGUUGUAAACCGCUUUUGUUCGGGAAGAAAUCCUCUGGGCUAAUACCCCGGGGUGAUGACGGUACCGGAAGAAUAAGCACCGGCUAACUACGUG
rnacentral:rRNA from 1 species